rnacentral:tRNA from 1 species
GCCGCGGUAGCUCAGUUGGUAGCGCAUCGGACGCGCUAUUCGAAGGUCGCAGGUUCGGUCCCUGCCCGCGGCA